rnacentral:lncRNA from 1 species
AAAAAAGUAAAUUUAGAACAAAUCUCAAAACAUACUCCAACCUACUGGAUUGGACGUGGACGAGAAAAAUACAAUCAGAAGCACACACCAACUUGGACUCGGACAUGGAAAACAUACACCAACUUGGACUCGGUCGUGGAAGAAGAAAACUAAUCGGGAAGCAUACACGAACUCGGACUGCCAUAGGUUCUAUACUAAUAUAAAUUACCCAGCUCUCAGAGAUUGAACGCCCAGAGAAAAAAGUGCCACCAGCUUAGUACACGCCAAGCAAUCUCCAAGCUACAGCGCCAACCAAAACAAAGGAGCCGUCAAGUAUGUUCCUUUGAUGUAGAUGAUGCCCGUGCCCCUGCAUAUUGUUCAUAAAAUGAUAAAACAGGUGGUUUCUAUCAUCUAGAUUUCUAAUGAACUACCCUAUACAAACUUUGAUGCAGGGAAGCCAUGGAUGUGCAGGAGAAAAGAAGAAAAAGAGAUAGAGAGCGAUAUGAACGGAUGACCAAUGAAGAAAGGCAGGAGAAACUGAAAAAUGCUAAGGAACAAAAAAGAAAGAGAGAUCAAGAGCGGUAUAAAGAGUGGAAAUGAACGCAUGACCGAUGAAGAAAGGCAGGACAAACUCAAAAAACGCCGUGAGGCCUAUCAUCAAAAGAAAGAUUCAGGGAAAACAGCAGAACAGAAGGCAGCACAAUGCGCACAAGAAAAACAAAAAUAUGCAAGCAUGCAGCCAGAACAAAAGAAAGCAAAAGUAGAACAAAAUAAAGCUCGCCGUCAAAUGGAGCGCAACACACCGUCCAAAGAUUCACUUGCAAUGGAGAACCCUGAAUAUGUCGCAACCGAACAAGAGGUUAGUACAUUUGCUGUAAAACACAGGGAUAAUGUGCCAGCAGGAAAAAGGCAAACAUUGCUACACCAUCGUAACGAACAAUUCAUGAGAAGACAGAGGCAAACUGUUUCCGUAUCAUCAAAACAAGAUGCAUCCAUGACGAAAAACACCGACGAAAACAAAGAACCUCUGGAGCAACCACAAGUCAUGACUUACGGUAAUAAAUCACAAUUUUAUAUAAUACUCGCACUCCAAGUAAAUAUAAUCUGUCUGUACAACUAACCAUCUUUUCUGGACAGAAAUCCUCUCCUCAAUGUUUCCAAGCAUCAGAGAAACAAAUGA